UAAGAAAUCAAUCAGAUUUCUUCACAAAAAGGAAAUAAGAAUCAAGUGGAAGAUUUGUCUUUUUGUCCCAUCACUGAAGAUUGGAGUUUAGAUCUAGUGGAAAGGCUAAUCAUCAGCUUGGCCACAAUGCUAUUGAGUGGCUUGACCAUAAUGAUGCAACUUGACUGCGAUAUUGAGUGGCUUGGCCACAAACGUUUUUGAGUGACUUGACCACAACGAUGUAGCUUGACUGCGAUAUUAAGUGGCUUGGCCAUAACGUGAUGCAUUAUUGGAUGGACGUGUUCUGGGGAACUCUUUAUAGUGUGUAAUGGAGAUGGGUACGAAUGUUUUUGAAAAACUUGCAUUGAUUUCUAAAAAAGUUCUGUAUUGACAUUCUCAUGCACCUUAAUAU